rnacentral:rRNA from 1 species
ACAGGAUAGGUAGGAGCCUUUGAAACGUGAGCGCUAGCUUACGUGGAGGCGCUGGUGGGAUACUACCCUAGCUGUGUUGGCUUUCUAACCCGCACUAAAUACUCUCUAGUGACCGAUAGUGAACCAGUACCGUGAGGGAAAGGUGAAAAGCACCCCGGAAGGUGAGUGAAAUAGAACCUGAAACCGUGUGCUUACAAGUAGUCAGAGCCCGUUAAUGGGUGAUGGCGUGCCUUUUGUAGAAUGAACCGGCGAGUUACGAUUUGAUGCAAGGUUAAGCAGUAAAUGUGGAGCCGUAGCGAAAGCGAGUCUGAAUAGGGCGUUUAGUAUUUGGUCGUAGACCCGAAACCAGGUGAUCUACCCUUGGUCAGGUUGAAGUUCAGGUAACACUGAAUGGAGGACCGAACCGACUUACGUUGAAAAGUGAGCGGAUGAACUGAGGGUAGCGGAGAAAUUCCAAUCGAACCUGGAGAUAGCUGGUUCUCUCCGAAAUAGCUUUAGGGCUAGCCUCAAGUGAUGAUUAUUGGAGGUAGAGCACUGUUUGGACGAGGGGCCCCUCUCGGGUUACCGAAUUCAGACAAACUCCGAAUGCCAAUUAAUUUAACUUGGGAGUCAGAACAUGGGUGAUAAGGUCCGUGUUCGAAAGGGAAACAGCCCAGACCACCAGCUAAGGUCCCAAAAUAUAUGUUAAGUGGAAAAGGAUGUGGCGUUGCCCAGACAACUAGGAUGUUGGCUUAGAAGCAGCCAUCAUUUAAAGAGUGCGUAAUAGCUCACUAGUCGAGUGACACUGCGCCGAAAAUGUACCGGGGCUAAACAUAUUACCGAAGCUGUGGAUUGUCCUUUGGACAAUGGUAGGAGAGCGUUCUAAGGGCGUUGAAGCAUGAUCGUAAGGACAUGUGGAGCGCUUAGAAGUGAGAAUGCCGGUGUGAGUAGCGAAAGACGGGUGAGAAUCCCGUCCACCGAUUGACUAAGGUUUCCAGAGGAAGGCUCGUCCGCUCUGGGUUAGUCGGGUCCUAAGCUGAGGCCGACAGGCGUAGGCGAUGGAUAACAGGUUGAUAUUCCUGUACCACCUAUAAUCGUUUUAAUCGAUGGGGGGACGCAGUAGGAUAGGCGAAGCGUGCGAUUGGAUUGCACGUCUAAGCAGUAAGGCUGAGUAUUAGGCAAAUCCGGUACUCGUUAAGGCUGAGCUGUGAUGGGGAGAAGACAUUGAGUCUUCGAGUCGUUGAUUUCACACUGCCGAGAAAAGCCUCUAGAUAGAAAAUAGGUGCCCGUACCGCAAACCGACACAGGUAGUCAAGAUGAGAAUUCUAAGGUGAGCGAGCGAACUCUCGUUAAGGAACUCGGCAAAAUGACCCCGUAACUUCGGGAGAAGGGGUGCUCUUUAGGGUUAACGCCCAGAAGAGCCGCAGUGAAUAGGCCCAAGCGACUGUUUAUCAAAAACACAGGUCUCUGCUAAACCGUAAGGUGAUGUAUAGGGGCUGACGCCUGCCCGGUGCUGGAAGGUUAAGAGGAGUGGUUAGCUUCUGCGAAGCUACGAAUCGAAGCCCCAGUAAACGGCGGCCGUAACUAUAACGGUCCUAAGGUAGCGAAAUUCCUUGUCGGGUAAGUUCCGACCCGCACGAAAGGCGUAACGAUUUGGGCACUGUCUCAACGAGAGACUCGGUGAAAUCAUAGUACCUGUGAAGAUGCAGGUUACCCGCGACAGGACGGAAAGACCCCGUGGAGCUUUACUGUAGCCUGAUAUUGAAAUUCGGCACAGCUUGUACAGGAUAGGUAGGAGCCUUUGAAACGUGAGCGCUAGCUUACGUGGAGGCGCUGGUGGGAUACUACCCUAGCUGUGUUGGCUUUCUAACCCGCACCACUUAUCGUGGUGGGAGACAGUGUCAGGCGGGCAGUUUGACUGGGGCGGUCGCCUCCUAAAAGGUAACGGAGGCGCUCAAAGGUUCCCUCAGAAUGGUUGGAAAUCAUUCAUAGAGUGUAAAGGCAUAAGGGAGCUUGACUGCGAGACCUACAAGUCGAGCAGGGUCGAAAGACGGACUUAGUGAUCCGGUGGUUCCGCAUGGAAGGGCCAUCGCUCAACGGAUAAAAGCUACCCCGGGGAUAACAGGCUUAUCUCCCCCAAGAGUUCACAUCGACGGGGAGGUUUGGCACCUCGAUGUCGGCUCAUCGCAUCCUGGGGCUGUAGUCGGUCCCAAGGGUUGGGCUGUUCGCCCAUUAAAGCGGUACGCGAGCUGGGUUCAGAACGUCGUGAGACAGUUCGGUCCCUAUCCGUCGUGGGCGUAGGAAAUUUGAGAGGAGCUGUCCUUAGUACGAGAGGACCGGGAUGGACAUACCUCUGGUGUACCAGUUGUCGUGCCAACGGCAUAGCUGGGUAGCUAUGUGUGGACGGGAUAAGUGCUGAAAGCAUCUAAGCAUGAAGCCCCCCUCAAGAUGAGAUUUCCCAACUUCGGUUAUAAGAUCCCUCAAAGAUGAUGAGGUUAAUAGGUUCGAGGUGGAAGCAUGGUGACAUGUGGAGCUGACGAAUACUAAUCGAUCGAAGACUUAAUCAA